GUUUGUUUAGUUUUAAUUUAAAAUUUUGGUUUGUGGAUUCAAAGAUCUUUUAGAGGAUAGGCU
rnacentral:tRNA from 1 species